AAUCAACGCUGGCGGCGUGCCUAACACAUGCAAGUCGAACGCGAAAGGGACUUCGGUCCUGAGUAGAGUGGCGAACGGGUGAGUAACGCGUGGGUGAUCUACCCUCGAGUGGGGGAUAACGUUCCGAAAGGGACGCUAAUACCGCAUGAUGUUCCGGGUUUGAAGACCUGGAAACCAAAGCCGGGGACCGCAAGGCCUGGCGCUCAAGGAGGAGCCCGCGUCUGAUUAGCUAGUUGGCGGGGUAAUGGCCCACCAAGGCGACGAUCAGUAGCCGGCCUGAGAGGAUGAUCAGCCACACUGGGACUGAGACACGGCCCAGACUCCUACGGGAGGCAGCAGUGGGGAAUAUUGGACAAUGGGCGCAAGCCUGAUCCAGCAAUGCCGCGUGUGUGAAGAAGGCCUGCGGGUUGUAAAGCACUUUCAGUGGGGAAGAACAGAUUCGGGUCAAUACCCCGGAGCCCUGACGUUACCCACAGAAGAAGCACCGGCUAACUCCGUGCCAGCA
rnacentral:rRNA from 1 species